rnacentral:lncRNA from 10 species
UAGAUGGAGUCUUGCUUUGUCAUCCAGGCUGGAGUGUAAUGAUGGAAUCUCGGCUCACUGCAACCUCUGCCUCCCAGGUUCAAGCGAUUACCAGGCCUCAGCCUCCUGAGUAGCUGGGGUUACAGUUAAGAGAACUGGAGACACAAAAAAGCUAAGUGAAUUAUGCAAAGCCACCCAGCUAGAAGUGACUUUCUUCAGAGGAAGUUCUUGGAAUUCCUGUGCCACCAUAAGAGUUACUCACCUGCUGGAUUUUUAUGAGAAGAGCACAUUAAAUGUUAACACUGCGACUUGCAAGGACCCCCAGCUGGUGGAUCCCUGAGGACAAGGACAGAAGUUCACCAUGCACGGCCACUCUGCUUCAGGAAGAUGGCCAUGUGCAAGCUAGGAAGAAGACAGAACUCACCAGGGACUGAAGUGGCCAGUACUUUGAUCUUGGACUUCAAGCCUCCAGAUCUGUGAGAAAUAAAUUUUUGUUGUUUAAGCAACCCAGUCUGUGGUGUUUUGUUGCAGCAGCCGAAGUGAACUAAGACAAUACCCUAUGAGCUAAUACCAUUUUAGCAGUGAAGAAACUGAGGCUCAGGGAGCUUAGCAACUUUCUCAAAGUUUCUGUGUGCUAAGCUGUUUCCCUGCCCCUUUCUGUCUGAGGGGAAAUUGAAAUAUAAAGCAACAACCUGUUGCAGAAAUAUUUGAGUAAACAAACUUCAGAAAGAGUGUUAGAACCCAAACUAGCUUUCAAGUAGAAAAAUCAAGGUAUUCCUGGGUGCUGUUAGUGUGAAAAUACAGGAAAUGUCAUUGGACCCAUAGGUGGGAAUUAUGGGCAGGUCUCAUAGAACAGGCACCUAGAAGGUAGUCGGUAAUCAAGAAAACAUUUCUUUCCACGAGGCUGCACGAUCCCCCUCAUCUCUGUGUGUCUCUCAUCCUUUAUCGGCCUGCUUCCCUCUUCACCUGAUUCCUCUGCUUGUUCUUUUGGGGUGCAGCCCUACAAGGAACACCAACCUACAUUCUGCUUGUCUCCACUGAUCUGCUCUGUCUUUGAGUAUUUCCAGUUCUAGAAAUUGGUAGAAAGCCAGCUCAUAUGAGUGAGACCGCAUGUACCACAGGCGGCUGGCCAGCUACUUCUCUGGUUCCUUGUCAAAACUGUUGCAUACAUGUAGCUCAAUCUAUGAUCAUCUCUGCACAAACAAACAAACAAACAAACAAACAAAACCCAGCCCUGCACCCUUUCUGUGAAUGGGAAGCAAUGUACAGAACAUAUUAAGCCAAGAGGUAGGUAAGGCAGAAAAUUGAAAGAUGAUAUCUGUUAUUGAUUUGGUAUGAGUUAAAGGUACAUGGUUCUGUUUUAGAUAUUUUAUAAUAAUAAAAAUGAAAAAAGAGAAAGGAAUUGCCCCACAAUUACGUUUUCAAAAUAUGUUUAUUUUUUCCCCUAAUUUUUCUUGAGGUUAUUUAGAUAUUUCUUGACAAAUCUUCAUGGUAACAUAUGUGAAAGCAGACAUGUUUAUUUUCUUUGAUUUGGUGGAAUGAAUUAUCAAAAUUCUGGUUUUUAACAUUGUUAAAACUUCUGAGUAAAAAAUUUCUAACAAAUGAAGUGUUAAUACCAAAAAAAGAGUGUUAGCUAUGAGUGGUAUGUAAAUAAGUUGUCAAAUAUCAUCAAUAAUAAUUCUGAUCACCAUUUUCUUGGGUUUAUUAUAAUAAGACAAAUGUUGCUCCCAAAGAAACUGCUGAUUCUGGGGCAGGGACAAGAGCUCACCAAGAAAUCCAGCUACCAAAAUAUUUUGCCUGGUCACCCGGCCACAGGGGCUGAUGGCCAAAUCACAGACUUGAAACCUAAUGGCUGUGAGUGCACAUCAACGUGUUCAUCUGUCUGGUAUUAUUAUGUAGUUUUUGGAAAGCCGUGAUCUCUACGUCAGAUUGUUUUUUGCAAAAUAAGAAAUAAUACUGGGGUCUUGCCUCAAAAAAAGCAGUGAAGAUCAGCUCAUAGAAAUGUUUGAAAUCUAGGUAGUACUGCAGAUUUGUGGACGCUAGAGAAUGACUGUAAGAAGUGAUCUUAGGCGGGAAAAGCCCACUGUUAGGUCUUGGCUCAUGCUCCGCGUUGCCAAUUCCCAGCCUUGCAAUUUUGGACAGGUUAUUUAAUCUGUAAGUGUGCUUCCAUUUCAUCACAUAUAAAACAGAAAUAUGAAAACCUGCCUUUGAGCAUUUUCAUGGGGAUUAAAUGAGAUAAGUUCUGUCUGGCACAUACCAAUGCACAAAUAAGCUUAGCAAAUGUUUUUGUUUUUUAACUAGAUGAAGAUAAGUCUCUCCAGUGGUAUAUUUUUCUUUAGGAAAAAAAUAUCAGUACAUGCUUUUAACAUAAACCUGAAUCUAACUUCUAUAUAAUAAUGGACAAGAUAAGACUCCAGAAAUAUUUUAGAAUUUUCUUAGAUGAGCUCUCAAUCUGUGUUAAAACAGGUAAAACCUUUUACUAUAGACUGAGAAGGAAGAGAAAGGAAAAAAAAUGGCCUAUUUAAACAAUGAGGAAUAUAUAUAUAUAUAUUUGUCAGUAUCUUAAAGAGGCUUUUCUUAUACAAACAGGAGUAUUUGCUGGUCAGUGCCCAGAUUUUUUUUUCUUUUGAUGUACAUUAAAAAAAUUAAAAGAAAUAUUCUUAGAAAGACAUCUGUGCCUGGGGUGACUCACAUUUGAUCAAUCCCUGUGAACUGAGCUUUUCAGGGGAUGUGCAAUUAUUUGCUCAGUUAGGCUUAAACUUUUUAUUUAUCUAAUCACCCCUCUGUAAUGCUUUGAUCUGAACUUCCAAGGCCUAUUUUUCAACCACUUUAGCUACAUAUUUUAAGUCUUAUAGUCUAAUCAACCCUAGCCCAUAAAACAUGCAAUGUCCUGUUUAAUGCCUCCUAUUAGGAAAUCAGCUGCCACAUGGAUUUUGUAAUCUCCCACUUUGUGACUGGGUGAGCUGUUUGGAAGUGUCAUUAAUGUCAUUAUUCCAGGAGAGCGAGAGAGAGCCAGCAGCCAAGUGCAUCCCCUGUAUCCCAGCUGGCUUCUCCUUGCUAACGUUUGCCGAGUGACUCAGAGGUGAAUCAUCGGUUUCUGCAGGUGUAAGCUUGGGAGUCCUGGAAGUCUUCCACAUCCCAGUGGGGGCAAAUGUUUACCUCAUUAAUUCAUGGGAUUACUCAGUAGUUCCAGCCAACUUAAUUUGACUGUAUAAUAGUUAAAAAUAUGUGUGUGUAUGUGUGUGUGUGUGUGUGCAUAUUUACUUAUAGCCCAGGAGUGUGCUACAGCUUAGAAAUUUAAAGGUAAAACCUGUCAUUGAAUAAUUAGAAAAUGUUGUGUUUAUUUGAAACAUUUAGAAAAAAAAAUUCUAUGUAUGUCAUUUUACUGUAACAUAUACACUUGGUAAUGAUAUUUCUCACUUUUCUCUCUGUGCUUGGAUAUAUGUGAGGGACUGAGGUCCAUAACAGUUGGUGAAUUAGCCCACUCUAAUUCCUUUCCCAGCCUUGGGGCUUAUUUAGUUGAAUGUUGUCAGAAACCUUAGCCUUCAGAGACUUUUUUCUUUUCAAAGGACACUCAAUUUUUGGUUGUAAAAACAAAAAAGUAAAUAUAAAUAUAUUUCUUCACUUUAUUCAUCUCUGAACAAAUCUUGCUUUUACAUCUUAGUAGUGCCUAAUGAAGAUAACAACCAUCAACUAAAUUAGUAAGAUUUAAGAAUAUAAAAAUAUAGUUACAGCGCCAAUUUGCUGAAAAUUAAUGGUCAUUAAUCAAGACCUAUGAUGCAAUAGCUAAUAAUUGAUUUCCUCCUAUGUUCUAGCACAAUGUAAAAUGCUUUACAAAUACUAAUUUAUUUAAUUAUUAGAACACCCUACAACAUUGGUACUCUUAUUGUCUGCAUUUUACAGAUGAGAAACUCCAGGCAGAGAGAGGUUAGCCAGCUUGCCUAAGGUCACACACAGAUAAUACAUGAUGAAGCCGGCAUUUAAAUCCAGACAGUCUGACCUUAGAACCUGAAUUAUAAAACACUAUGUUAUUAUGGUCUAAUGACAAAUUUUUAAAAAACACAGAAGAAUCUAUGCAUGUAAAUGAAUCCAGUCCAUCUUAAAGUAGCCACCUAUGUAUGCUCUAUACUUAUUUCAAAUUUUGCUGUGGCUUAACACUUCCAGAACUCUCUCUUUUCUUUCAUUUCUAAAAAAAUUCUUGUGGAAACUAUGCCUUGUUGGUCUAAAUAUCACCAGUAAAAGCUUCACUCUUUGAAGUUGAAUUUGAUUUUGGAAAUAGUUGAAAGUGAUUCAAAACUCAGGUUGGUGAAGAGAGGAGGAAUCAAGUUUGGUAAGAUCACUAUAAGUUAAACUGUCUCUAAAUAUAAUUUUCAAGCAGGGAUUCUAGAAUUCCAAAAAUAUUUUGUGUAAUGGUAGCAUCAUUAAAAUAAAUGGAAAGCCUGCAAAGGUCAUUCUGAAGAGCGUUAGAAAGACAGAGAACAGUAGCAUAGAAGUUUCUGCUACAGUGAUUCAUCCUCUAAACAUAUGAAACCAUCCUAUUAGGUCACAAUUCAAUAGAUGCUAUUUGACUACCUGACCUGUUAGAAGCCCCUUUCAAUUCUUCUGUAUCCAAAUUUAUAUAGGGGACAUUAUCGGUCAAGACCCUGGUGAGAGAGUGACACAAAAUGGGUAAUUGAGGAGAGUUAAAUAAAGAAACAGUUUACAGGGUUAUAAGCAGGAUUUGUGGAAACCAAUAACAGAAAGUGCAAAUCCCUGGAUAGGCAGCAUGGAGGCACCAUCAUGCCCCUCAGCCUGAAGGGGCGCAAGGAGAGGAGCAGGGGCAAGAACCAGGGAGGGCUGCUGCUGUGAACAGGGCUGCAUGCAAGGGCCUGCAUUGGGGGAGGCAGCCAGCCCAUGUCAACCAAACGUAGGGGGGAGUCAGCUCAGAGCAAAUACCCCAUCUCACUCUCCUCCUGCCCUCUGAACUCCUGCUACUGCCCCACAGACCAAACCCAACCAGAACACACAGCAAAGAGCCAGCCUGUUGUCACAUGCCACAGAGAUUACCUUUUGGGAGCACACAGUGGGGUCAAGCCUGCCUUCUCUCUGGUUCUCACCUUUCCUAGAGGAGAGGAACUGACGCAUGGUAAAGACAUUUCAUAUACAAAUUUCAGUUACCCAACUGGCCUAGGAAAGGGAGGAGAGGAAGAAUCUGACAUUUAUUGACAGUUUUUACAUUUAGUGAGUACUUACUAUGUACCCAAUGUGCCAGGUGUUUUACUUAUGUUAAAAAUGAAGAUGCAUUAUGUGAAGAGAAUUUCACUUUACUUCUGUGGUUUCCCUCCCCUCACAAUUACAUUCUAAUUAUGAGAAAACAUCAGAUAAACCUUAUCUCUAUUGAGGGGCAUUCAAUAAAAUAUCUGAGCAGUAUUCCUCAAAACUGUUAAGGUCUUCAAAAAUAAAGAAUUCCGAGAAACUAUCACAACCAAUGGGAGCCUCAGGAGACAUGACCAACAAAUAUAAUAUGGUAUCCCUGAUGGGAUCCUGGAAAAGAAAACAGACAUUCGGUAAAAACUAUGGAAAUCUGGGCCGGGCGUGGUGGCUUACACCUGUAAUCCCAGCACUUUGGGGGGCCGAGGCAGGUGGAUCACCUGAGGUUUGGGAGUUCGAGGCCAGCCUGACCAACAUGGAGAAACCCCGUCUCUACUAAAAAUACAAAAUUAGCCUGGCGUGGUGGUGCAUGCCUGUAAUCCCAGCUACUCGGGAGGCUGGAGCAGAAGAAUCACUUGAACCGGGGAGGUGGGGGUUGUGGUGAGCCGAGAUCACACCAUUGCACUCUAGCCUGGGCAACAAGAGCGAACUCCAUCUCAAAAAGAAAAACAAAAAAACAAAACAAAACAAAAACUAUGGAAAUCUGAGUAAAGUGUGGGCUUUAGUUAAUAACAAUGUAUCAGUAUUGGUUGAUUAAUUGUGACAACUGUAUGUACUAAUGUAAGAUGUUAAUAAUGGUGUGGGGUGUAUGGAAACUCUCUUAUCUUUGCAAUAUUUCUGUAAAUCUAG